ensembl:lncRNA
UGCAGGCUUUGGAUGAUUUCACUUAUGCUUCUUAUUUGGGGCAGAGUAGGUUCAAUUUAAACUAGCACCGUAUGUGUUUUCAGACAACAGAUUACUGCUACGCGGACGUGAUUCCCUAAAACCAAAGUCAGAUGGACUUACAUUUGUUAAGGAUUGUGCCUAUGGCUAGAAGUGUUCCCUUUCUCUUGCAUCAGCCAUAUUUGGUUCUUGGCUCUUCUUUUGAACCUUGCGAAGACAAUUUUAAGUCAGAAUGACAGAAUAAGUCAUUCGCUGGUGCACGGAUUAUGUUCACAAUGCAUUCUGGAUGGUUGUUUAAUUGACUCGUGCUCUCUGGUCUACAGGUUCACUCUUUGGUGUUACACAACCUUCAGGAGGUUCGUUUCAGCUGCGUCGUGCACAAAUACCGCAGUGAUGAUCAUCAGACUUGGCAGACUGACUCCUGGAUACUUCCGUCUCCUGCAGAGGCAGGUAGCAGGUGAGGUUCAGGCCCCAACUCCCGACCGCUCCGUCAACCAGAUCGCCAUGCUGCUGGCCAUCAUGGGCCUCAGCCUGUCCUACUACAGUGCCAAACAGAUGAUGGAGAAGGUUCGCCACAAACCCGCCCCGUGAAGAUGUGCGUAUGUGCUCCGGAUCAACGGCAUCUGGAGAAGACUAAGCCAAUCUGAAGAUGUUCAGACUUUGUCAAAAUACCUUUCUAUAACCUUCAGGGAUCACACACACCGCAGGACUUCCGCUUAGGGGUUCUCUUGCUUUAGUUUAGCUCUCAAUGGGAUCUGGAAGGGGUUGUGGCCUGAGUUUUGAUAGUUGACUUGAUACAUGCAUCAGAGAGUCCAUUAAUGGGUUGCUGCAGGUUCAAAACUCAAGCUCCACCAAUGCAUGAGUAAAUCUGGAGCUCAACUCUGAGCCAUAAUGUCUUUUAAAGGGAAGGACCUCUGUAUUUGAGAUGUACCAAGCAACUAUUUAAAGCAGGUCCAGUGCACAAGGGUGAAAUGCUCAGAUUUCCCCCCCAAAAGAUGCUUUUGAAGAACGUCAAAGCCUUGAGGACUAAUAGUGGAGGUGCUGCUCUACAAUACUACACUUGGUGUCAGACACUUUAGGAAAUUUACUACACAAAGAGCGUUUGAGGACCUUAUGUUAAAGUGACUUGAUCUUUUCAUUAUAACUUGUACUAACAAAUUUCUCCAACUCUUUAGAUGUUAAUGCCGACUUUGUGUGCAAUUGCAUGAGUUGAAGCCGUUUGUUUUAGUGAAACCAAUCCAUAAUGUUGUUUCUAAUACUUUAUGAUCAUGUGAUUUAUGAUGCUGAAUGUAUUGUAUGUUAUAUUUUUAAGACACAACAAUCAAAUAAAGCUGUGACUAUUUUGAACACUAUCAAGUCAUGACUCAAGAUUUAGAAGAACAUUGUGAAGUUCGUCUGACUCAUCGCUGUUGAUAAAAUGUGAUUCUCACUGAGUCAAGUUUUAUACAAACCAUAUGAGGUUUUCCUGUCGGCAGAAGCGUGCUGUUGAACAGGAAGUGGGCACAGUCUCAGGCAACGGCUUCCUCGAUCUGCAUGCGAUAUUUGUCUACCAGCCUUCUGCAGCUGGCUUUGUCUGACCCACUUACCAAGUUCAAUAGACCUCAAUUAAACAUUUGCACACCAAGUAACUUGAGGUUAUAUUACAUUGCAUUCUCAACGCUUCCAAAAGGGUUGGGUGUUUUUUUUUUUUGUUGCUAAAUAAAUUAAACUAACCUUCAUGUGUUCUGGAAAUUGACUUGGAGAGGGUUUUCUUUUCCACCAGAAAAUGCUAGAAAAUGUUAUCGCAUUACACUAUACUAAAAUAUACUGACCUCCCAAAAUUAUAAUUAAUUUUUUUUACAUUUGUGGUGUUCCCAG